rnacentral:rRNA from 1 species
GUCCACGCCGUAAACGAUGAUAACUAGCUGUCGGGGGCCAUAGGCUUUCGGUGGCGCAGCUAACGCAUUAAGUUAUCCGCCUGGGGAGUACGGCCGCAAGGUUAAAACUCAAAGAAAUUGACGGGGGCCUGCACAAGCGGUGUAGCAUGUGGUUUAAUUCGAAGCAACGCGCAGAACCUUACCAGCGUUUGACAUCCCGAUCGCUGAUUCCAGAGAUGGAUUCCUUCAGUUAGGCUGGAUCGGUGACAGGUGCUGCAUGGCUGUCGU